GGUCUCGCGAGAGUUCACAGCAAGAGUCGCCAGCAAGCUUUCAGUUUCCUCUUCUCGUGAGAACUGGUCGCAAUUGAUGACAAACAUACGUAUUGUUGCUCUUUUCUUUCGCUCAAGUGACCUUGUUCAAAUACCCGAGAGAAGGGGCGGGGGGGAUAAAAUAAAACUGGGUAACGUAUGAACGUCGGAACGUUUUCAAAGCCAUUGCAGGCAAAAGUGCAACUGUGCUCACCUGCACUGAUGAGGUCUCGAGCUGGGCUGAAGCCCCACCAGUUGAUGCAGCCCGCACCUUCUGACGGCCGUCCGGCGCUCAUCGUGUCCCGGGAGGACUUCGGUGGAGGCUCGGGGAGAGCACAAGCUCCUCGCCAAACAAACAACCGUGAUGAAAACAAAAAUAAUCGGGAAGAGACACACACCAAAGGAGGG